GUUGAACGCUGGCGGCGUGCUUAACACAUGCAAGUCGAGCGGGUGAGUUCUUCGGAACGAUCUAGCGGCGGACGGGUGAGUAACACGUGGGCAACCUGCCUCAUAGAGGGGAAUAGCCUCCCGCAAGGGAGAACAAUACUGCAUAAUAUUAUCGAGGGGCAUCACAUGAUAAUCAUAGGAGUAAUCCGCGAUGAGAUGGGCCCGCGGUGCAUUAGCUAGUUGGUGAGGUAACGGCUCACCAAGGCGACGAUGCGUAGCCGACCUGAGAGGGUGGUCGGCGACAUUGGGACGAAGACACGGUCCGGACACCUACGGGAGGCAGGAGAGGGGAAUAUUGCACAAUGGGGGAAGCCCUGAUGGAGCUACGCCGCGUGAGUGAUGAAGGUCUUCGGAUUGUAAAGCUCUGUCUUUGGGGGCGAUAAUGACGGUACCCAAGGAGGAAGCCACGGCUAACUACGUGCCAGCAGCCGCGGUAA
rnacentral:rRNA from 1 species